AUUGAACGCUGGCGGCAGGCCUAACACAUGCAAGUCGAACGAGUGGCGGACGGGUGAGUAAUGUCUGGGAAACUGCCUGAUGGAGGGGGAUAACUACUGGAAACGGUAGCUAAUACCGCAUACCAUCAGAUGUGCCCAGAUGGGCUUAGCUAGUUGGUGGGGUAACGGCUCACCAAGGCGACGAUCCCUAGCUGGUCUGAGAGGAUGACCAGCCACACGGGGGCUGAGAAACGGUCCAGACUCCUACGGGAGGGAGCAGUGGGGAAUAUUUCACAAUGGGCGCAAGCCUGAUGCAGCCAAGCCGCGUGUAUGAAGAAGGCCUUCGGGUUGUAAAGUACUUUCAGCGGGGAGGCGUUACCCGCAGAAGAAGCACCGGCGAACUCCGUGCCAGCAGCCGCGGUAAUUC
rnacentral:rRNA from 1 species